CCACAGGAAUUCUUGGAACAAAUAAUGUUGCUGAAAUAAACAUCUAGAGAGGCUGUCCAGGAAAAGUGACAGACUACAAAAUGGUCUAAAAGUCACGUGUACAUAAUAUUGUUCAUGUUAGACUGGAGUACCUAGUGGUUCCAUCUGGCCUGAAUCUUUCUGGAUGUAGCAAAGACAACUCUCUUUUACACUGCUUGGAGAGAAGGAUGUGCAUCUUUGUCUUGAGGACUGAAAGCAGCAAGCUGUUGUAGCCUAACCUAAAUAAAGAGAUGCGACCAUGGGAAGGUUAUUCUCCGGUUAUAUUUUCCUGACCUUACGAAGAAAGAAGACAAAGCUUCUCUUCCAAGAUGAUGUUCUAGCUGCAGUACUCUGUGGGUGAUAAUUUGCUGAAACUCCAAGUAAC
rnacentral:lncRNA from 1 species